rnacentral:misc_RNA from 1 species
GAUGAAGAACGUAGCGAAAUGGGAUAAGUAAUGUGAAUUGCAGAAUUCAGUGAAUCAUCGAAUCUUUGAACGCACAUUGCGCCCGUCAGUAUUCUGGCGGGCAUGCCUGUUCGAGCGUCAUUACGCCCCUCAAGUCCCCUGUGGACUUGGUGUUGGGGAUCGGCGAGGCUGGUUUCCAGCACAGCCGUCCCUUAAAUUAAUUGGCGGUCUCGCCGUGGCCCUCCUCUGCGCAGUAGUAAAACACUCGCAACAGGAGCCCGGCGCGGUCCACUGCCGUAAAACCCCCCAACUUUUUAUAGUUGACCUCGAAUCAGGCAGGACUACCCGCUGAACUUAAGCAUAUCAAUAAGCGGAGGA